rnacentral:rRNA from 1 species
CAGCAACAGCUAGAGUUUGAUCCUGGCUCAGGAUGAACGCUGGCGGCGUGCCUAACACAUGCAAGUCGAACGGAGUUAUUCGAGGAAGUUUUCGGAUGGAAUUGAAUAACUUAGUGGCGGACGGGUGAGUAACGCGUGGGAAACCUGCCCUGUACCGGGGGAUAACACUUAGAAAUAGGUGCUAAUACCGCAUAAGCGCACAGCUUCGCAUGGAGCAGUGUGAAAAACUCCGGUGGUACAGGAUGGUCCCGCGUCUGAUUAGCCAGUUGGCGGGGUAACAGCCCACCAAAGCGACGAUCAGUAGCCGGCCUGAGAGGGUGGACGGCCACAUUGGGACUGAGACACGGCCCAAACUCCUACGGGAGGCAGCAGUGGGGAAUAUUGCACAAUGGGGGAAACCCUGAUGCAGCGACGCCGCGUGAGUGAAGAAGUAUUUCGGUAUGUAAAGCUCUAUCAGCAGGGAAGAAAAUGACGGUACCUGAGUAAGAAGCCCCGGCUAACUACGUGCC